GUGUGUAUUCGGUGAUUUUUAAUAAUUAAUAUCUUGUUAACUAUUGCGAAAUGAUAGAGAAUUUUUUGACUUAAUUUAAUCCGCUCUAUCAGCACACGAAAUAUUCCGCGAUCAUUCUGGGACACCACUGUAUAAACCACUUACCAAAUUCUGCAGUUCUUGGAUUGUCCAAUAAAUCAAUCUUAGAAUCUUCUUCAGAUGAAGACAUUUUAGCACCAGCCAAGCCAGGAA